CCGUUUUGCCUUUUAUGGGAGAGAGCGGGCAGCAGCGGGAGUGGGUUCAGUUUGAAUGGCUUAGGACUUAGGGAAAUAUCUGACUUUCUAAUUUUCUUUUUCUUUUUCAUGGUGAAGUGACAGGCGGGGAUUCAACGGGUAUAGCUGUAGUCAGCUAGUAGAGAGGGAAAUCUGGAAAAGCCUUCCCCUAUUGCUGCCAGUCUGCUAUGGAACUGUUAAAAAACACACGACCUGCUGCCCAUAAUGUAAACAGCUGGUGGCUGUUAAUGUAUCAUUUUCGUUAUGUACCCAUUUUAUGCUGUUGACAUGAAGUUGCAAGCCACCUGGAAGUGUAUGUGUCUUUCCAUAAGGGUUUUGUUUUUCAACUUUUUAAAGAGUUGCACAGACUGUUUGUUUGGCUUGAAUUUGGGGCUCAUGGUUAAGAUAGCAAAAAUAAAGGGAUUUAUUUCAUUACAUUGUAAGCACUGAAUUCCCGAGAGUAACCUUUGACAUGUUGCUUUCUCAAUGUAAAUAUUAAGAAAGUAAGCAUCGUUGUUGGAGAUAAGCAGGUGCACUAAUUUGAUUUGUAGCCGUUCUGUUCUGCCUGUGAGCUUCCUUUUUGCAACCAGCUGACUGCUGGCCGAUGUCAAAAGGAAAUGGAUAUUGGUCUGAAGAAGCAUAACAGUUCUGAGUGGUUUAGAAGCUGGCAUUUAAAAACAGUAACAUUGGCAUUGACUCAGUAAACCAUUUGUAACCCAUUUUGUUCAUCAUUGAAAAAUGGGGGUGUUACUUUUUAAAAAACUUUUUAACAUCACCACAAAGUGGCUGACUGUCAACUUCAAAUGGGGCACAGGUCCUUUUAACAGCGCCUCGCCUGUUAAACAAGCAUUAAAACCAGCAGUUCACAUUGGCAAAAAAUGCAAUGUGUGAAAUGGCUAAGGCAGCAUUACAAUUAUGUCUGUCUUCACCUUAAGCAUAUCUGUGAGCCAUUCACCUCCUGCCAUGCAGUACAGUGGUACCUUGGUUCUCAAACGCCUUGGCUCGCAAACACCAAAAACCAGGAAGUAAGUGUUCCAGUUUCCAAAAGUUUUUUGGAAGCUGAACAUCUGAUGCGCUUGUCGGCUGUUGUUUCUGGGGUGCCUGCACCAAUCAGCUGUGCCUUGGUUUUGGAACAUUUUGGAAGUCGAAUGGACUUCCAGAACAGAUUAAGUUUGGCGCUUUUGUUUUUGCUAUUUAUUUUGUGUUUUUGUUUUCGAGGCUUUUUCGGUUAAUUUGUUUUUGUGACUGUAUGGAACUCAGUUCAGCUACUGAUUGAUUGUGCGACUGCAGAAAUGGAUAAAAGCCCCCCAUCCAAACAAUGACUAUCAUCAGUGCAGGUAAGAAAAAAAUGUAAUUUUAAUUUUUAUCAUCUACAAUACUCUCUAUUUUAUACUACAAUACAUUGAUUAUUGCUUUCAUUUUAUGGAUCAAUGGUCUCAUUAGAUAGUAAAAUUCAUGUUAAAUUGCUGUUUUAGGGGUUGUUUUUAAAAGUCUGGAACGGAUUAAUCCGUUUUGCAUUACUUUCUAUGGGAAAGCACGCCUUGGUAUUAGAACGCUUUGGUUUUGGAACAGACUUCUGCAGAACCAAGGUACCACUGUAUUUAAGAACAUGAUUAACCCAGUGGGGGGGGGGAAUCCCCUGUGGAACAGGAGUGUUGUCCCACACUGACCCUGAGAGUUGGUUCUUCAUCUUUUCAGUUUUUUGUCCUGUAAAAGUGCCUUCCCCAUGUUCUCUGCUGGAGGUGGGGAACCAGUGGCUCUCCCAAGAUGGUCAGUUCUCAAGUACUAAAAUGCAAUGCAUCAUAUAAUUUAUAGAGUAAGAUACUGAGAGGGAAGAUUGCUAACAAACCAUAAAUAGAAAGAGCAUGGCCAGGUUUCACUUGUUUAGCUUUUGUGGACAGCUUUUUCUGUACAGUGUUACCUCGGGUUAAGAACUUAAUUUAUUCUGGAGGUCUGUUCUUAACCUGAGGUACCACUUUAGCUAAUGGGGCCUCCUCCUGCUGCUGCUGCUGCGCCGCCUCGCAAUUUCUGUUCUCAUCCUGAAGCAAAGUUCUUAACCUGAGGUACUAUUUCUGGGUUAGUCUGUAACCUGAAGCAUCUGUAACCUGAGGUACCAUUGUACAGGUUAUUCAAGUGUAGAAGUAGAAGAAGAAGAAGAAGAAGAAGAAGAGGAAGAAGAAGAGGAGUUUGGAUUUGAUAUCCCGCCUUUCACUCCCCUUCAGGAGUCUCAAAGUGGCUAACA
rnacentral:lncRNA from 1 species